rnacentral:rRNA from 1 species
AUGGAGAAGUUCGCCUUCGAUGAUGUUAGCUGCAUUGAUUCCUCAACACUUGAGCCUGAGAUGGAGAGCUUCAUGGUUGAUUAUGGUGAGGUGGAUUCAGAUGUCAAGGAGCCAAGCUCUACUAUUUCACUUGUUGACACGAGUCCGGUGGAAAUUGCUACUACCGCACCUCACUUGGUAUCUUCAGUUGAGGUAGUCCUGAACCUUCUUCCUAACUAUCUCAGGUAUGAUCGCAACUUUCUCGACAAGAUAUGCCAUAUCAUGGAUACUGCCUAUGCACCAUGCGAUUUGUUGAUGAUAUCUAUUUAUCAUAUGCUCAAUAGAUAUGCUUAUGUGAUAGGAUACUCUAUUUAUGACUUAGAGGGCAUUGUCCCUAUCACUUGUAUUGGCUUGUUUGUUGAGUGUUCUUUCAGGUUUAUGCUUGUGCACCUUCAUUGCGGGCUGAUCAAGUUCGAGAUGACAUCCCAUGGGAUCCUGGUGGAUUCACGGCAUGGUGAUGAGGAGAAGCAAGGAGCACACAUGAGGAAGAGCGAAGUUGGAGCAUGCAUGAGGAAGCAAAAGGAGAGAGUUGCAGUUCAGAGAGCGAUUGUGCGAGACCUACAUCAUAUAUGCCCGGUGAGCUGUUUCAUGACCCCAAUCUGA